CCCAUCGAAUAAAAAGAGAGAGCUUUAAAUCUUUCUUACUUUUAUGACCGGACGGCCUGAUGAUCAACCCAAUCCAAGUACUUGCCAAUCGGAUCAUCUAAUCUAAUCACAUAUCAUAUAUGCAUAAAUUUAGAUCUAAUCUAAAUUUUAUCAGAUCUGAUUAUAAUCUUAGAUCAUAUCUAAAUCAGAUCAUAAACAUCACAUGCAAUAUAUAAAAUAAGAUUUUAUCAA
rnacentral:lncRNA from 1 species